rnacentral:ncRNA from 1 species
UUGCACGUGAACAGCAGUUGAACAUGGGUCAGACGGUCCUGAGAGCUAGGCAAGCGCCCUCACUGAAAGGGAGUCGGGUUCCGAUCCCCAAAUCCAGAGUGGCGGAGAUGGGUGCCGCGAGGCAUCCAGUGCGGUAACGCAACCAAUCUGGAGAAGCCGGCGGGAGCCCGGGGGAGAGUUCUCUUUUCUUUGUGAAGGGCGCCCUGGAAUGGGUUCACCCCAGAGAGGGGCCUGUGCCUUGGAGAGCUUCGCGGUAAAGAAAACAAAAAGCAAAACCUUUGCACGUGGGUGACUCAAUUAGUUCUCACGCAUAGCAGAUGCUGGGUGUUAACUCAGUCACACACACUGACCGUU